GAAACGACUGCUAAGACUGGAUAGGAGACAAGAAGGCAUCUUCUUGUUUUUAAAAGACCUAGCAAUAGGUAUGCUUAGGGAGGAGCUUGCGUCACAUUAGUUAGUUGGUGGGGUAAAGGCCUACCAAGACUAUGAUGUGUAGCCGGGCUGAGAGGUUGAACGGCCACAUUGGGACUGAGACACGGCCCAAACUCCUACGGGAGGCAGCAGUAGGGAAUUUUCGGCAAUGGAGGAAACUCUGACCGAGCAACGCCGCGUGAACGAUGAAGUAUUUCGGUACGUAAAGUUCUUUUAUUAGGGAAGAAUAAAUGAUGGAAAAAUCAUUCUGACGGUACCUAAUGAAUAAGCCCCGGCUAACUAUGUGCCAGCAGCCGCGGUAAUACAUAGGGGGCAAGCGUUAUCCGGAAUUAUUGGGCGUAAAGGGUGCGUAGGCGGUUAAAUAAGUUUAUGGUCUAAGUGCAAUGCUCAACAUUGUGAUGCUAUAAAAACUGUUUAGCUAGAGUAAGAUAGAGGCAAGUGGAAUUCCAUGUGUAGUGGUAAAAUGCGUAAAUAUAUGGAGGAACACCAGUAGCGAAGGCGGCUUGCUGGGUCUUUACUGACGCUGAGGCACGAAAGCGUGGGGAGCAAACAGGAUUAGAUACCCUGGUAGUCCACGCCGUAAACGAUGAGUACUAAACGUUGGGUAAAACCAGUGUUGAAGUUAACACAUUAAGUACUCCGCCUGAGUAGUACGUACGCAAGUAUGAAACUUAAAGGAAUUGACGGGACUCCGCACAAGCGGUGGAUCAUGUUGUUUAAUUCGAAGGUACCCGAAAAACCUCACCAGGUCUUGACAUGCUUCUGCAAAGCUGUAGAAACACAGUGGAGGUUAUCAGUUGCACAGGUGGUGCAUGGUUGUCGUCAGCUCGUGUCGUGAGAUGUUGGGUUAAGUCCCGCAACGAGCGCAACCCUUAUUGUUAGUUACCAGCACGUAAUGGUGGGGACUUUAGCAAGACUGCCAGUGAUAAAUUGGAGGAAGGUGGGGACGACGUCAAAUCAUCAUGCCCCUUAUGACCUGGGCUACAAACGUGAUACAAUGGCUGUUGCAAAGGGUAGCUGAAGCGCAAGUUUUUGGCGAAUCUCAAAAAAACAGUCUCAGUUCGGAUUGAAGUCUGCAACUCGACUUCAUGAAGUUGGAAUCGCUAGUAAUCGCGAAUCAGCAUGUCGCGGUGAAUACGUUCGCGGGGUUUGUACACACCGCCCGUCA
rnacentral:rRNA from 2 species